AGACAGCAGUAGCCGCGGGAAUACGAAGGGUGCAAGCGUUACUCGGAAUUACUGGGCGUAAAGCGUGCGUAGGUGGUGGUUUAAGUCCGUUGUGAAAGCCCUGGGCUCAACCUGGGAAUUGCAGUGGAUACUGGGUCACUAGAGUGUGGUAGAGGAUAGUGGAAUUUCCGGUGUAGCAGUGAAAUGCGUAGAGAUCGGAAGGAACAUCUGUGGCGAAGGCGACUAUCUGGGCCAACACUGACACUGAGGCACGAAAGCGUGGGGAGCAAACAGGAUUAGAUACCCCCGUAGUCCCUGUCUCUUAUAA
rnacentral:rRNA from 1 species